CUUGCUUCCAAAUUCUGUAGGGACCUAGGCUAUCCCUCACCCCCCUCCCAAUUUGAAAGUAUAUAAAUUAGUCACUCCUCAUGACCCCAGUACACUCCUUCGGCCCACGGGUCCCGUCCCUGUGCUUUAGCAAAAUCACCUUUUUUGCAACGAUGCAGAUGUAAAACAUCUCAAGAAUUCUUUCUUGGCUGUUCCCUCCGGACGCCAAUAUCUCACAUCAUUUUGGUGUUCCAACAUGCAGCCUGAGUCUUCUCAUCUGGACUGUGAGCCUUGGUACAAACUUGGUACAAGAACCUCAGGAUAUCUUAAGGACCUCAGAAAGAAGAAUUUGUCCAAAUAUACAGGUACUGCAGGCAUGUCUGAUGACAAGUAUUUGGCUUGGCUUCUGGUCCAGAGAGGCUACUAAAAGUUCAGUCUUGAUUCCUUCUGAAGAGUUCCAGAAAAGCAAAUUUUGAAAGAUCUACAUGGUCAAUCACUAUUCUUGCUGAUCUUAGGUAAAUAAUUAGGCCAAGUCUGUUAAAAUUGGACUUAAAAAAAAAAAAGAUUUUAUUUAUUUAUUUGACAGACAGAGAUCACAAGCAAGCAGAGAGGCAGGCAGAGAGACGGGGGUGGGGGAAGCAGGCUCCCCACCGAGCAGAGAGCCCGAUUAGGGGCUCUAUCCCACA
rnacentral:lncRNA from 1 species